rnacentral:misc_RNA from 1 species
UCUGUGAGCACCAACCACCCGCAUACGUUUGUUGUGCGCACACGCACCCACAAGCCCAAGCUAUUAUCAGCCAUUCUCGCUCUCCCUCACACACGUCGGUUUGCUGCCCUUAUUGUCUCCCCCCUUUUCCUCUCAUCUCUUUUUCGCUCACUUGCCUCUUUUUGAUAGAAGACACGCACGCAUUCACGGUACUUCACUGCACAGCCGCCCAUCUCUCGUACGAUUGUCUUGACUAUCUUCACAAACUGUGCCGAUAGAGAAUGGGGUGCUGCAACUCGAAGGAGACGAAGAAACCGAAGGAGGUGAAAGUGCCGCAGCCUGAGGCUCAGUCUGCGAAAGUGUCAAGUGAGACGGCGAGCGUGGAAGAGCAGCGCAAGAUUGAGUUUAGAGUGGCGAGUGCCGUGGAGGAUCUGCGCGCCGAGCGCAUUGAAGCCAUCUGCGCCCACAGCCGUGCCUGCCCGUACCGCUAUAACGCCUGCACUGUAGUGGGCGGAGAAGUGAAGUUCUACUUCGAGGGUGGCAUCAUUUUCUGCAUCGUGAAAGAAGGCUCGUGGUACGUCUACAACGACUCCCUUGACUACGAGGCGCAUGUGACCGUUCGCUUCGGCCCGGGCUCGAAUAUCGUCGCUGGAGAGCGGGCAGAGCUGGAGGAGGUAGAGGACGGCUGGACGUGCGCACACGCCGUCGUGUACCCGCUGGAAACGGUGCAUUUGGUCUCCGGCACCGCCAACGGAUACAGGACCAGCAUCACUAUCAAGCCCCUCGAUGGACAGUACCGCCACGAUGCGUGUGCAGCUGCCAACGGCACUGCUGAAGCGGAGACAGAGGCCGUUCGCUCUCUUGUAAGCGAAGGGAUGGACGAGGAGGCGAUUCUGCACCGCUGCAUGGAGACAGGAACGCCGUACGUCGACCUAAAGUUCCCGCCGAACGGCGAGGCGGUCGCACGCGCCGGCAGGGACACCCGCACCAUCCCCGAGAUGGCCAUGAUGCGCCCGACGCAGUACCUGUCGGAUAAUAACCGCCUUUCGGUGAACGACAUUUGCGGGCCAGUGCUGGCCUUGUCCAUCGAACCGGGUAACCUCGGCGACUCGUGGUUUAUGUGUGCUGUGGCCAUCAUGGCGGAGAAUGAGGCGGCGGUCCGAAACAUUUUUGCACAGGGCUCAUCGGCGGAGAAGGCGGUGGGUGCGUACCGCGUGCUGGUCAACAAAAACGGCUGGUGGCACACCCUCAUUAUGGACGACUACUUGCCCACGUUCAACUGCAUGCCCGUGUUUGCGCGCUCGUACGACAAUCCUGCGGAGAUGUGGACCUCGUUGUUGCAAAAGGCGUAUGCGAAGCUGCAUGGCUCCUAUGCCGCGAUCACUGGCGGCGACGCUCUACAGGCUCUCGCCGAUUUGAGCGGCUCGCCGAUGUGCCGUUUUGACAAGGAGUGGGAGGAGGCAACGACGGACGCGGGAAAGGCGGGCACACUGGCCAAUGCGCUGGUGCAGUUUUCCCGCUCUGGCGCCUGUGUUGUGCUCAGCACUCCAGGCCACAAUUCAGAGAGCUACCUGGGCCGCAGCCAGGCGAGCGAUGCGGCGGCGUUUCGCGCCCACUACAAGAAGGUUGGCUUACAUCUCGGCUACACGUACUCUUUAGAGCGCGUUGUGAUGGUCGAGGAGUGCAAUACCCUGCUGUUCAAGGUGCGCAACCCUUGGCGCUCGUCGAACAAGUGGACUGGAGCAUGGAGCUACGGUUCGAGGCAGUGGGAUGAGAAUCGGGAUGCCUGCCUCCUCUGCGGUGCCCAGAAGGACCCGCAGGAUGGCAGCUUCUGGAUGUGCUGGGAUGACGCCACCCGGUACUUCGACGGAGGCGGUGUUCUGUUUGCGAACCCCGACGCAACAGAUUACCGUGUGAAGGGCGUGUUUUGCAAGACGAUCCCAAGCGCGGUUCUUGAGAUCACGGCCUCGGAGUCCACCCGGGUGCUCUUCACCCUCUCGCAACCCGACAAGCGCGGCGUGGACCGCAAGGAGGGCGCGGCGCUUUUUGCUCCGAUUAUGCUCACUGUGUCCAAGGCGGAGGGCGGCGUGCAGCGGGUGCAGAAGAACACCAGCUGGAACCCGACGAUGCCCUCUGAGGAGUUCAACUUUGUUGUCGGCCGUGACGUCUCCAUGUGGUUCACGCUGGAGGCCGAGGAAAAGUACCAACUCGUGCCACGCAUGCACUUAAAGGGCGUCAGGAGCAACUACGAUCGACCGUACGUGAUCAGCAUAAUGUCGGCCGAUAAGUUGGAGGGCAACGUGCGGGUGGAAGCGAAACGCAUUGACAGCAGCUCGAAGGUGUUCACGAACUAUAUCGCCUACAGCUCGGAAGAGCUGCCGUCGGCCGAGGUGGAGAGCCAGGUGCGGCUUCCUGGCAAGGCCCCCGUGACGUACGUGUCCACCACGGUGAUUUGACCGCGUACCACCUGAAGUGCACGCGCUCCCCUACGCAGCAGGAGUCUCAGCGGCCGUAGCGGCGUGGUUGGUCGAGUUAUCAGCUUCGUAUAUGUUGCAGGGGACUGCAGCCGUGCGGUGAUGAUUUGUCGAUUGCGUGGUUGGACGUUAAGGAGAACAACUCUCCACAGCAAAGGAAAGGAAGGGCAGAGGCGAAGGCAGGUGAGCGUGUCUGCGAGAAGGACAGCGCCGAUGCAGGCGCCAAAGGUUCGUGGCGAGGGUCUUCACAUACACUCAAAAAGAUGAGUGCACUCACCUGCGUCUGCGUGAUGGGCCGCUCUCCUCCUUUGUCGGGUUCUCUCGUCGACUUUCUCCCUUCCUGUAGCGUUUCUCCUCUCUUUUCUCUCUGUGGUGUGUGAUGUGUGUGUAUCGAAGGCGAGCGUUUUCUAUGGUCCGUUUUGUGUAUGUAUCGUGUUCUGCCCUUUCCUCCCUCCCCCUUCUUCAUGUUACUCGGUGGAGCAGCGAAAUCACCUGCAAUGCUGUUGACUACUCAUCCCCCUUUAUGCCCAACCCCCCCCCCCAGAAAAAGGCGGUAGACACCGAUUUUCCCCUCCUCCCCCCUAUCGGUGCACACUCUCUCCAGGGCGUGUGUGUGUGCGCGCGCCACCUGUGCUGUGAACUCACUGUUGUUAUUGUUUUCCUUCCUUUUGCUCGCCCUCGUGUUUCGGUGCACCACUGAUCAAAAAGAUGUCCAUUCACCGAGACGCACCCCCACAAGGCGCUGGAUGAGUGACUUGACAGACAGGCAGCACACAGGCACACACGUACACAUGCGCGCCGCCACACAGUGAAGCCUCCUUCUCGUCCUCCAAACCUCUGCACAACUUUGGGAACAGCGGGGAGUAGGCCAGAGAUCUUAUCAAACAACAACUCGAAAAAGAAGGCCGCUUUUUUUUCACUUCUCUUCUUCGGUUCACUCCAUCGCAUGUGUGUGCGUGCACGUCUCCAGCUGUGCGGAUGCGGGGUCCAAUCUUACUUUGGUGCCUAUGAUUAUCUUCUGUUUGGUGUACCUCAUCGUAUCGUUGCUGCCGUUUGCAGUGUGUGAGGGGGGGGGGGCGGUGUCUUUAGACGAUGGGGCAACGGGUUGGGGGUGCGGCGGCGGUGCGCGGCUCGUUUUCCGUGUGGUUUCUUCUGUAUUUUUUUUGCCCCCCCCCCCCCCCCCCCCUGCCGCGGCUGCGCACUCUGCUGUACGGCCGUCGCAUAUAUCGCCAUGUCUCUUUCUCUGCCUCCCUCCGCCUUUUCCAGAGGUGCUGUGUGUGUGGAUGUGUGUCACGCCUUGCGCGCUCGUAUGCCUUGGGGAUGUUGUGGUGACUGCUUGGGGGUUCUUCGCCAUCUUGUUUCUGAAGCGUUCCUGGGAAGGUGGUUUCUCUGUUCUUUGUCUUUUUUAGCCUACUCUUUCCUGUACCGAUCCCAUGGGUGAUACGCAUCUGUUCCGUGACGACGUUGAUGGCCGCCAACCAAAUUUUGUAUGCCCGCCGUUUUUUUUUGUGUUUGUGUCAGUGUCGCGCUUUUUAGGGACUCCCUACGGCUCCUUUCGCAUAAAUUUCCACGCCUUUUGAGGUUGCUCUGUUUUCCUCUACGGCGUCCUCCGCUUCAUUGUCUACACCAAUCUCUGGAUUUUUCCCGAGGGGGGGCGAGCUCACGUGUUGGUAGUGCAUGCACUGAGGUCUCUUGAAGGGGAAGAGGAGGCAUGAAAGGGAAGGUGGGGUGAUAGAAGGAGGUGCCGAACGUGAGGGACCGAUGAGCGAAAAUGCAGUUUGCUGUCUUUUGUUUUUUGCGAGUUGGUGGAGUUUCACCGCUGCUUGCUGACUCUCAAGACACACAGCCCGCUCUCUUCUCCGUUUCCCCGCGCGCCUCUUUCUCUGUGCUUUCCUCUCUCGUCGUUCGUCUCCAUCUUUCCCUUCGCACACGUAGUGGCGUACCGCGGUGGGCGUGUGUGUGUGUCGUUGUCUGUGUCGCUGUACGUCUCCCUCCCUCUCCAUUUGUCUUUGUUUUUUUUUUUGUUUUCAUCUGGAUGUCUUCUCUUCUCUGUAGCCUGU